GCAGCCGCCACGGGAAUACGUAGGGUGCAAGCGUUAAUCGGAAUUACUGGGCGUAAAGCGUGCGCAGGCGGUUAUAUAAGACAGUCGUGAAAUCCCCGGGCUCAACCUGGGAACUGCGAUUGUGACUGUAUGGCUAGAGUGUGUCAGAGGGGGGUAGAAUUCCACGUGUAGCAGUGAAAUGCGUAGAUAUGUGGAGGAAUACCGAUGGCGAAGGCAGCCCCCUGGGAUAACACUGACGCUCAUGCGCGAAAGCGUGGGGAGCAAACAGGAUUAGAUACCCGGGUAGUCCCUGUCUCUUAUAC
rnacentral:rRNA from 1 species